AUUGAACGCUGGCGGCAGGCCUAACACAUGCAAGUCGAACGAGUGGCGGACGGGUGAGUAAUGUCUGGGAAACUGCCUGAUGGAGGGGGAUAACUACUGGAAACGGUAGAUAAUACCGCAUACCAUCGGAUGUGCCCAGAUGGGAUUAGCUAGUAGGUGGGGUAAAGGCUCACCUAGGCGACGAUCCCUAGCUGGUCUUAGAGGAUGACCAGCCAAAUGGGAAAGGAGAAACGGUCCAGACUCCUACGGGCGGCAGCAGUGGGGAAUAUUGCACAAUGUGCGCAAUCCUGAUGCAGCCAUGCCGCGUGUAUGAAGAAGGCCUUCGGGUUUUAAAUUACUUGCAGCGGGGAGGCGUUACCCGCAGAAGAAGCACCGGCUAACUCCGUGCCAGCAGCCGCGGUAAUAC
rnacentral:rRNA from 1 species